rnacentral:lncRNA from 1 species
CCAGAGUGAAAGCAACCACAAUAUCAAAUGCUAUGCAUUUGACAACAAAAAAUCGAAAGAGAGCAUCCAUGAAAAGAAUCAAACAUUUUCUUUCAAUUAGUUGUUUUCUUAUAUAAUUAAUCACCAUAAAUACAUUAUUUUCAUUAUAGCUUAAGAGUCUGCUAUAUCUCUCGUAUUGUCUUCCCUUUAUCUAAUAAUCCCCUUUGAUCAAAGAUGUCGGUAAAUUGAAAGGGGUGUUCUUGAAGUGGCGUAGUCAAAGUUGGCAAAGUAACAAUAAAAAAAACAUAUCAAGUGUAAUUCCACAACUAGGGGUUGAGGAGGAUAAAUAUAUGCAGACCUUUUCCCUAUACUAUGUGAGAUAAGAGUGGUUUCCGACAAACCCUUAGCUCAAAAGAAGUGAAAUCACAAUAUUGAAAAGAAAAUAGCAAUAGCAGAUAGCAAGAUGCAAAUUCAAAAGAAGCAACAAAUAAAUUUGUGAUUGUAAAAUUCAAUUUUUUUCUCCACUCCUUGAAUUGUCCACGGGUGAAAUUGUUUACAAUGAAAUGAUUAAGAUAAAGUCAUGAGCGAGACUAGUCGCAUAUUUGACGCAAUUCUACAAAUGAAGUAUGGGGAGGGUGAAAUAUACACAGUUUAUUCUAACCUUUAUCCCUAACCUUUAUGGUAUAAAGAGACUGUUCGUAAUAGAUUUUUGUGUAAUAGUUUAGAUCUCAUUAUAAUAACAACACAAUAUAUACACUAUGAUACCACAAGUAAGGUAUUGAUAGAAGAAUGACCUAAAGAGAUGAAGACUAAGAGAAACAAAAUAACAAAUAAAUGCAAUAAAGUAAGAUAAAUAGCUUGACAUACGAGAUUACAAGAAAAAGGAACCAAACCGUGUUCAAAUGAUAAGACCCCUAAGACCUGCAAUAACAACACCAAACUCUUAUGGUGACCGCUAAGGGAAUCAACUCCGCCUUAUAACCACCGUUUCUAAGCAAAGAUCAAUAAUGACUUUUCCAAACCCUACACUACACUCUCAGAGAAGAAAAAAUCUUUCAAUGACUCUCAAAUAUCCAUAAUCACCUAAAGAGCAAAUGAUCUAAUAGAAGACUAUUUAUAGGCUAGCUUAUUACAUAGCAAAAUGACCAAAAUACCCUUAAUGAAAGGGGUGGUCAUGGAGUGUCUUUCCAACAAGUGUAAUCCCCAAAAUACCCUUAAUGAAGGGUGCUUCUUCAAUGCUCCAAAACCAAGGUGUCAUCCUUCAACACUUGUGGACUUGGGUUGGCAUCAAAGGUAAGCCCCCACGCAAUCUUCCACACAUGGAUUUGCUUUAUGUCAUGCUCAAAAUAGGUCCUCCAUGCAUGUUCUUGUGUCCUCGAGGUAACCAAGUCUUGAGUCUUUAUUCAUUGACCUCCAAUGAUGUCUUCAAAAGCAUAGAUGGCCAUUUGGCUUGUAUCAGGUGUGGAGAGAGGAACUUUGUAACUCAUAAAAACAAAAUCCCACCAAAGAGAAAAACGAAAUGUUACCUGAAUCUGAACAAAACUAAAGCUAAAGCAGCAAUUAACCAAGUCUUCCCGUUGAUUUUUUUUGUGAAAUCCAAUAAACAGAAGCUUCAAUAAAAUUCAAAAAGGUUUAAUUCUAGAAAAUCAUAAUUUUUUUUGAAAAAAAUUCUAUACUCAACUAGAAAUGAAUGUUAAUAAUGCAAAAAUGAAAAAGGAAGAUUUCUGUAUAAUCUAGAGAAAAGAAAUGAGCUUUUCUUUAUAUGGUUAAAAAGAAAGAGUUGAAUGAAUAAUUAUCUGGUAUUUUCAGUGGAAUGCUGGUGACAGUAGCCCAGCACCCAACCCUUGUCUCAAACAAAGAAAAUUAAGGUAAUCAAUUGAUCAGUGCAAAUAAAAGUCUUUUGUGUAGUUAGAUCUAAUAAUCACUAAUCACCCUUCCUAGAUAAAUAAAUUACCAAUAAAACUUAAGCCAGUAUAUCACCAUCUAAAGCAUUUUCUCAUGCUUUCUCGAUAAAUCUAAACUGAUAACCUAUUCAAAUAUUCUAAUCCUGGAAAGAUAAAGUUGUCUAGUUAAUUAUUUUUGGGGUUUGAAAGUUAGCACACGAGCCUAAUGCCAUGAUCUUUCAUUACACUUACUUUCAUGGUAACACAACAAGUGUUAUCAUUUGCAGGUUUUAACAGAAAUAAUUAAAGAUAUUUAAUGAACUAAUCUCAAGAGUAGCAACUACACAAUGUCCACUUAUUGGACUAUAAGCCAUACGAACAAUAGGCUAACCAAUAUCAAUCAAAGCACUCUUACUUUCCAUAUAUGGAUCAAAUUUUGACCAAUUAAAAUGCGAUUAGUAUCAUCAUAUAGUUUAUUAACAAAAAACAUAAAGCAUAUGUGAUUCAAUUUGUACCGAUUAUAUGGCUUCCAAUGGCAACAGCGAGAAACAUCUGAGUGGGAUGAAAUGCGAUAAAAAGUCUGCAUAAAAUCGAAAGAAAAUAUAAAGAACAAAAUUUACUCCAAUAACAAAAACAUUAAUAGAUCUUAAUGACAAUAUCGAUCAAUUGGGAAAAGAUGUAGAUGAGACUGAAAAAAUGAUCGAAGAAAUGGCCUCACAAUAUACAAGUAGCAAUGCACAUCCAUCUUAUAAUCAUGCUUUUGAAUGUUAUAACAAUGUUGUUAACAUAGCAAAUAAUUCCUAAGACCCUGUUAUAAGGUACUUCUAUUAUGACUAAAAGACUCGUAGGAAGAGGCAGAAAAAGAAAUAUAGAGGAGUUGUCAUGAGUGAAGAUCAAAGGCUUCUCAAAAUGACAAAACAAAAAUUUAGAAAUAAGGAGGGUGCAGCUAGAACACAUGAGAUGAGAUUGGUAAGCUAGAAAGAUGUUUCUUUUUAUUAAUUUUAUGACUUUUGACUAUCUCAAAAAUUCUAUCAUUUGAUCCUUCAUUUUUUUUUUUGUUUUUGUCUUAUAUCGACAUUUAUAUAUGUUUAUAAGACCCAUGAAGCAUAUUUGAAGUUUAACAUUUGGAGCUUCUCAUGGAGAAUGAUUACUUAAAAAAAAUUAUUAAGGUAAAAUUUAUUAAUCAUUCAUUUCAUCACCGUGUUGCUAUUUUAAUUUGUAUUCAUUUUUUGAAGUACUAAAGAACUUAAACAUUAAUUUUUUUCUUUGUUAACCAAUUUUUGAAAGACCAUAACAGUGUGAAUAUGUCGCCUCCUGAACCAUUGAGGAGGACCAUCUCAAGAGAAAAAAGUAACAGAAUGUUUGUAUCGUGUGAAUUUAGUCGAGAUGUGCUAAAGCGGGCCAGAACCAUUUGUAAGGUUCAUAGUAACUGUAAAACAUGUUGUCAUGAUAGUGCCAACAGAAGUAGCUUUCUCCAUUACUACUAAAGGAGAUAUAUUUCCCAAUAUCCUUCUUAGCUCUUUUAGAUUUAGUAAUGCUAGAGUUACUGUGAUAUCCUAGUUUUUCUUUAUUUACUUGUGUAAGAUCUUUUCAUAUCUGUGAAUUAGAAAGGUCCUAAAAUUAGUUGUCAAUUCUAUUAUGGUAAGGAACUAAACUUCUUCUCAUACGCACACAAACAAAUUUCAUUUUUUAUUUUUUGCAUUAACACAUGCAGCUAAGCUCGUUGACAUAGAAAGUAAUACCCCCCGUUUAAAAAAGAAUGACCUGCUUUCCCUUUUAGUCCAUUUAAAAAAGAAUGACCUCUUUCCAUUUUUGGCAAUACUUUAAUUUCAACUUUCCACAUAGCGACCACAAGACUAAAGAAAAUUUUGGUACAUUUGACACAAUUUUAAUUUAAGGCCACAAGAUUCAAAAAUCUUCUUUAUUUUCUUAAACUUUGUGCCAAGUCAAAGUACGUCGUUCUUUUUGAAAUGGAGGGAGUAAUAUAUAAACAUAUAUAACUAUAAUAAUAUUGGCACAUAAAAAUCUACAACAAUCUGUAGCAAAGAUUCAAGAAAAGAGAAUUAAAAAUAGCUGGUACCUGUAAAGGACAGACUGAAAUAACCAUUGUUGAGUGAACUAUCACACUAAUUUUUUUUUUGGUAGGUUAUACUGCUGGGCCUAAUUCUCAAUACCAGCUAUCCGAAUUUAGUGGAUGAGACAUCCAAUGUACCAACUCCCAUUUGCAGUUAUAUAUGACAACAAGAUGCCCAAACAGUUUAAGAUCAGAACGGUUAUUUUACUUAAUAGUAGUGCAACUUUACUGAGACAAAAGUAACAGAAAUAUUGGCUAGUUUCAAGUAAGUAAAAUAAGAUGUUUACUCUACAUCCAUUACCACAGACUUAUCUCGAUGGACAAUGCCAGCGAAAUGACAACUGUUGGCAAAUAAUUUAACUGAGAGCAGCCAAAAAGUCUGAUGGCUGAUGGAGUAAGAGGAGCCCAAACAAAGAAGCCUGAUCAAUAGAUUAAUACUGAGGUUAUACACAACCCCCCACUACAAUUAGUAUCACAACAAUAACACUUAAGUUCCACUUCAGAUAAAAGAUCUAUGGAAGCAUUCAGCUUUGGAUGAAAAAGUUAAAAUUGAUAGCUAAAGAGGUUAACACUAUUGGAAAUUUAGUCCAACAUAGGUGGAUUAGUCGAGUGUGUGCAAGCUAACCUAGAUACCGCAGUUAUUAUACUGUCAAUUCGCAUAGCCUAAGGUAAGUCAUUAUUUAAUUAAUAUGUACCAAUCAUAAAGGAAAUCAGUCUUCAGGAAAUCUAACCUGCUGUACAAUUAAUGACCCCUCUACACAACUUAAUGGCUCUGUCAAAAUAGUAAGAAAACCAUUUCUAUUAUCAUAAACUAUGUCUGUAAAUGGCCUAUCAACCAUAUGUGUAGGACACAACAUAAACAGUCAACUUAAGAUGGAGAAGUUGACAAAAAAUUUAAAAAAUCAAAAUAUACCAUGAAAUCAAGAUGGAUAAUAACGAUAACAACAAUGAAAAUAGCCAAUAAAAUUGUGCAAUUUGAAGAUAAUUGAAACAAAAUUAAGAAAAAAUUUAAGACAAUCACUAACCUUAAAUUGGAGGGAGAAGACAAAAGCUCUCAAUGAACACUUCAGAGGCUGAAGGGGAAACAAGGUUUCCAGAACUAUCUUGAAGGCAGUAGAUAUUUUAUUGAUAUUUAAUAUUUAUACAUGAAAAAUUUAAGACAAUCACUGACUUUAAAUUGCAAGGAGAAUGCAAAAGCUCUCAAUGAACACUUCAAAUGCAGAAGGGGAAACGUAGGUUUCCAGAAUUAUCUUGAAGGCAGUGGAUAUUUUAUUGAUAUUUAAUAUUUGCUCAUUUGAGCUUAAUAACAAAUUUGUCAUUGGUUGUUCCAAAACUCCCCCUUCUAUAUCUAUAUAAUAUUACUACUAGUUAGACGUGGUAUGUGCUUAACUUUAAAUAUAAAAAUAAUAACAUUUUAACUAAAAAAAUUAAUUUGUAUCAUAUUUUAACUGCAUAAUAAAUAUAAUCUAAUGACACGUUAAUGUGUAUUGUUGCUAAAUUUUCAUUGUUAUUAAUUUUGUCGAAAUCUAUAAUGAUAAAAAAAUAAAAAGUAAUCUAAUUGAUUUUCUGAUCUAUAGUUAUGACAUCAUUAGUUUGACGUAAUUCUUUUUUCUCUAUAAAAUAAUAAGAUGCAAUUUUCACCACAGUGCCUUAAUUACAUAGUACUAGUUUAGUAAGAUCUUUUUGAUUUUGAAAGAAUUCGUUUAUCUUAAACUUUUUUUUUUAAAAACUUAUUAAUAUCAUCAUAAUUAUAUAAAACAUAAUUAUUCAAAUUAAGUACACAAUUUAAACACUUAGCAAGGACAAGAUCAGAUCAUGCCCCUCUCUUUCUUACAAUGAAAAAUCAGUCCCAAUUAAUUAGGAAGCCCUUCAAAUUCCUAAGUUUAUGGACUGAACAUUCAAAUUCUUUACAGAUUGUGGAGCAAUACUGGAAAGCUGUUUGUGUAGGGCAUCUUUUUUUAAUGUUCAAAGAGAAAAAAAUAAAAUUAAGAAAGCCUUGACCAAAUGGAGUAGAUAUACUUAUUAGGACAUCUUCAAGCAAUUCAUAAUUAGGGAGGAGAUUGUGAAACAAUUAUUUGAAGAAGAUCCUACUCCUUAGAAAUGGUGUUGUGGAUGGCUCAAAGCAGAAUUGAAGAAAUAUUUGCAUCUGGAGGAAGAAUACUAAAAAAAAGCUAGAGUAACCUAGCAGGUAGAUGGGGGACAGAAACACUUUUUAUUUUCAUAAUUUGGUUAAUGAUAGAAGAAGAAGAUUUCAAGUUAGAAGGAUCCAGAAUGCUGAUGAGGUUUGGAUUGAAGAAAUGAAGCAAAUUAAAGAGGAAGCCAUUAAGGUGUUUGAGAAACAAUUAACUCAAGAAGAUUAAAUUACCAAUUUUGAAAUCCUUAACAGAAUAUCUCUAAAUAUGACUGGGGAGGAAAAUAUAAUGUUGUGUUCAACAUCCAUAAUUGAGGAGGUCAAAGCAACAGUUUUUUCAUUGGAAGGGGCUAGUUCUGGUGGACCAGAUGGUUUAAAUGGGAAAUUUUAUCAAUAUUUUUGGGAAAUUAUAAAAGAAGAUGUUCUCAGUGUAGUAAAAGCUUACUUUGCAGGUGACUCAUUGACUAAGUCCUUUACUCAUACAAAUGUGGUUCUUAUUCUAAAGAAUAAUGUGGUUCAAACUUUUGCUGAUCUUAGACUUAUUAGUCUAUGUAACUUUAUUAAUAAAGUUAUCUCCAAGGUGGUACAAAGAAGAUGAAUUUUCUACUUUUGUCAAUAAUCUCAUCAAAUCAAUCAAGAUUUGUCAAGGGAAGGUGCAUCAUUAAGAUUGCGCUCUUGACCCAAGAAAUUGUGACUAGCAUUAAAAAGAGAGGAAAAUCAGUAAUCAGUAAAUGUAAUACUAAAGUGAGAUAUGACAGUGGCAUAUGACAGGGUGUCUUGAUUAUAUUUAACUAAAGUAUUAUGGAAAAAUGAGAUUUUUAGAGAUUUUUAUUGACUUAAUCUGGAGGUUGCUUACUAAUAAUUGGUAUUCUAUACUAAUUAAUGACCAAUCUCAUGGAUCCUUUCAUUCCAGUAGAGGUGUUAAGCAAGGAGAUUCUUUAUUCCCCGCUUUAUUCAUUCUUGCUUCAGAAACACUGUCCAGGGCCCUAAAUGCCUUACUUUAUGAUUAAAGACUAGAAGGGCAUGUCGUGUCGGCACGGGCCCAACAUUAAGAUAUUUUGACUAUGUAUGAUAGGUUAGAUUGAUGUCAAUUCGAAUUAUGAAUUAUAAAACAUGAAUAUACAAAAUAUAUUAACUACUUGAUAGGAUUUUUCAAGGAGUCAAAUUAUCUCACAAGAUAAUUAUGUAUAACUUUUUACUCAUAUAAAUAACAAAAUUUGAUGCAUUUUGAAGUNNNNN